AGUGAACGCUGGCGGUAGGCCUAACACAUGCAAGUCGAACGGCAGCGCAGUAAGAGCUUGCUCUUACGGGUGGCGAGUGGCGGACGGGUGAGGAAUACAUCGGAAUCUACUUUUUCGUGGGGGAUAACGUAGGGAAACUUACGCUAAUACCGCAUACGACCUACGGGUGAAAGCAGGGGAUCUUCGGACCUUGCGCGAUUGAAUGAGCCGAUGUCGGAUUAGCUAGUUGGCGGGGUAAAGGCCCACCAAGGCGACGAUCCGUAGCUGGUCUGAGAGGAUGAUCCGCCACACUGGCACUGAGACACGGUCCAGACUCCUACGGUAGGCAGCAGUGGGGACUAUUGGACAAUGGGCGCGAGCCUGAUCCAGCCAUACCGCGUGGGUGAAGAAGGCCUUCGGGUUGUAAAGCCCUUUUGUUGGGAAAGAAAAGCAGCAGGUUAAUCCCCCGCUGUUCUGACGGUACCCAAAGAAUAAGCACCGGCUAACUUCGUG
rnacentral:rRNA from 1 species